AUGCAGAUCGACGUAACCUCGUCUGAUGGCAAGACCACGGCGAAGGCAGCAAACCCGGAGUUUCAGACCUGGUACGCGAAAGAUCAGCAAGUUUUUUCAUACCUUCUGACGAUUCUCCCUCGUGAGAUAGCCAUCCAGGUUGCAUCAUGUCACACUUCGGCUGAGCUCUGGAAUACGGUUGAGGGUAUGCUUGCAUCCCGAACCCGUUCCCAGACCACCACCGUCCGCAUCGCCCUCGCCAACUUGCAGAAGGGCAACUCAUCCAUCACGGAGUACGUUGGGAAAAUCAGGUCCCUCUGCGAUGAACUGAUCGCGGCUGGAAAGAGGGUAGACGAGGAUGACAUCAUCUCCCACAUCUUAGUCGGGCUCGAGGAGGACUUCGACCCGGUGGUUUCUGCUAUGUGCUCUCGGGUGGAACCCGUGAGCGUGGCCGAGCUGUAUUAG
rnacentral:rRNA from 1 species